rnacentral:rRNA from 1 species
UACAGGGGGGGGCAAGCGUUGUUCGGAAUUACUGGGCGUAAAGGGCCAGUAGGCGGCCAACUAAGUCACACGUGAAAUCCCCGGGCUUAACCCGGGAACUGCGUGUGAUACUGGAUGGCUUGAAUUCGGGAGAGGGAUGCAGAAUUCCAGGUGUAGCGGUGAAAUGCGUAGAUAUCUGGAGGAACACCGGUGGCGAAGGCGGCAUCCUGGACCGGCAUUGACGCUGAGGCGCGAAAGCCAGGG